AACGCACAUUGCGCCCGCCAGCAUUCUGGCGGGCAUGCCUGUUCGAGCGUCAUUUCAACCCUCGACCUCCCCUUGGGGAAGUCGGCGUUGGGGACCGGCAGCACACCGCCGGCCCUGAAAUGGAGUGGCGGCCCGUCCGCGGCGACCUCUGCGUAGUAAUCCAACUCGCACUGGAAACCCGACGUGGCCACGCCGUAAAACACCCAACCUCUGAACGCUGACCUCGAAUCAGGUAGGACUACCCGCUGAACUUAA
rnacentral:misc_RNA from 1 species